rnacentral:rRNA from 1 species
AGUCGAGCGGUAAGGCCCUUCGGGGUACACGAGCGGCGAACGGGUGAGUAACACGUGGGUGAUCUGCCUCGCACUCUGGGAUAAGCCUGGGAAACUGGGUCUAAUACCGGAUAUGACCGCGAAUCGCAUGGUUUGUGGUGGAAAGGUUUACUGGUGCGAGAUGGGCCCGCGGCCUAUCAGCUUGUUGGUGGGGUAACGGCCUACCAAGGCGACGACGGGUAGCCGGCCUGAGAGGGCGACCGGCCACACUGGGACUGAGACACGGCCCAGACUCCUACGGGAGGCAGCAGUGGGGAAUAUUGCACAAUGGGCGAAAGCCUGAUGCAGCGACGCCGCGUGAGGGAUGACGGCCUUCGGGUUGUAAACCUCUUUCGACAGGGACGAAGCGCAAGUGACGGUACCUGUAGAAGAAGCACCGGCCAACUACGUGCCAGCAGCCGCGGUAAUACGUAGGGUGCGAGCGUUGUCCGGAAUUACUGGGCGUAAAGAGCUUGUAGGCGGUCUGUCGCGUCGAUCGUGAAAACGUGCAGCUCAACUGCGCGCCUGCGGUCGAUACGGGCAGACUAGAGUACUUCAGGGGAGACUGGAAUUCCUGGUGUAGCGGUGAAAUGCGCAGAUAUCAGGAGGAACACCGGUGGCGAAGGCGGGUCUCUGGGAAGUAACUGACGCUGAGAAGCGAAAGCGUGGGUAGCGAACAGGAUUAGAUACCCUGGUAGUCCACGCCGUAAACGGUGGGUACUAGGUGUGGGUUUCCUUCCACGGGAUCCGUGCCGUAGCUAACGCAUUAAGUACCCCGCCUGGGGAGUACGGCCGCAAGGCUAAAACUCAAAGGAAUUGACGGGGGCCCGCACAAGCGGCGGAGCAUGUGGAUUAAUUCGAUGCAACGCGAAGAACCUUACCUGGGUUUGACAUACACCGGAAAGCCGUAGAGAUACGGCCCCCCUUGUGGUCGGUGUACAGGUGGUGCAUGGCUGUCGUCAGCUCGUGUCGUGAGAUGUUGGGUUAAGUCCCGCAACGAGCGCAACCCUUAUCUUAUGUUGCCAGCGCGUAAUGGCGGGGACUCGUGAGAGACUGCCGGGGUCAACUCGGAGGAAGGUGGGGACGACGUCAAGUCAUCAUGCCCCUUAUGUCCAGGGCUUCACACAUGCUACAAUGGCCGGUACAGAGGGCUGCGAUACCGCGAGGUGGAGCGAAUCCCUUAAAGCCGGUCUCAGUUCGGAUCGGGGUCUGCAACUCGACCCCGUGAAGUUGGAGUCGCUAGUAAUCGCAGAUCAGCAACGCUGCGGUGAAUACGUUCCCGGGCCUUGUACACACCGCCCGUCACGUCAUGAAAGUCGGUAACACCCGAAGCC